rnacentral:rRNA from 1 species
UAGGGAAUCUUCCACAAUGGACGCAAGUCUGAUGGAGCAACGCCGCGUGAGUGAAGAAGGUUUUCGGAUCGUAAAGCUCUGUUGUUAGUGAAGAAGGAUAGAGGUAGUAACUGGCCUUUAUUUGACGGUAAUCAACCAGAAAGUCACGGCUAACUACGUGCCAGCAGCCGCGGUAAUACGUAGGUGGCAAGCGUUGUCCGGAUUUAUUGGGCGUAAAGCGAGCGCAGGCGGAAGAAUAAGUCUGAUGUGAAAGCCCUCGGCUUAACCGAGGAACUGCAUCGGAAACUGUUUUUCUUGAGUGCAGAAGAGGAGAGUGGAAUUCCAUGUGUAGCGGUGGAAUGCGUAGAUAUAUGGAAGAACACCAGUGGCGAAGGCGACUCUCUGGUCUGCAACUGACGCUGAGGCUCGAAAGCAUGGGUAGCGAACAGG